AGAGUUUGAUCCUGGCUCAGAACGAACGCUGGCGGCGCGUUUUAAGCAUGCAAGUCGAACGGUAUACAUAGCUUGCUAUGUAGAGAGUGGCGAACGGGUGAGUAACACGUAGGUAAUCUGCCUCUGGAUGGGGGAUAGACCACGGAAACGUGGCGUAAUACCGCAUGAGCUCUAUACUUAUAACGAGUGUAGAGGAAAGAUGCAAUUGUAUCGUCUGGAGAUGAGCCUGCGGUCCAUUAGCUUGUUGGCAGGGUAAUGGCCUACCAAGGCGACGAUGGAUAGCCGGCCUGAGAGGGUGAACGGCCACACUGGGACUGAGACACGGCCCAGACUCCUACGGGAGGCAGCAGCUAAGAAUCUUCCGCAAUGGGCGAAAGCCUGACGGAGCGACGCCGCGUGGACGAUGAAGGCCGAAAGGUUGUAAAGUCCUUUUCUUAGGGAAGAAUAAGGCGAAGAAUGGAAUGCUUCGCUGAUGACAUUAACUGAGGAAUAAGCCCCGGCCAAUUACGUGCCAGCAGCCGCGGUAAUACGUAUGGGGCGAGCGUUUCGGAAUUAUUGGGCGUAAAGGGCGUGUAGGCGGUUUUAUAAGCCUGGUGUGAAAUCCCACAGCUCAACUGUGGAUCCGCGCUGGGAACUGUAAGACUAGAGUUUAGGAGGGGAAGCUGGAAUUCCUGGUGUAGGGGUGAAAUCUGUAGAUAUCAGGAAGAACACCGAUGGCGAAGGCAAGCUUCUAGCCAUAGACUGACGCUGAGGCGCGAAAGCGUGGGGAGCGAACAGGAUUAGAUACCCUGGUAGUCCACGCUGUAAACGAUGUGCACUGGGUGUAGGAGACGUUGAGUUUUCUGUGCCGUAGCUAACGCGAUAAGUGCACCGCCUGGGGAGUAUGCUCGCAAGGGUGAAACUCAAAGGAAUUGACGGGGGCCCGCACAAGCGGUGGAGCAUGUGGUUUAAUUCGAUAUACGCGAGGAACCUUACCAGGGCUUGACAUGUACUUGAAGGCUUAAGAGAUUAAGUCGACCUUUAGGGGACAGGUACACAGGUGCUGCAUGGCUGUCGUCAGCUCGUGUCGUGAGAUGUUGGGUUAAGUCCCGCAACGAGCGCAACCCUUACUGUCUGUUACCAGCAGGUCUUCGGACGCUGGGGACUCAGGCAGAACUGCCGGUGACAAACCGGAGGAAGGUGGGGAUGACGUCAAGUCAUCAUGGCCCUUAUGUCCUGGGCUACACACGUGCUACAAUGGUCGGUACAAAGCGUUGCGAGACGGUGACGUCCUUAGCAAAUCGCAAAAAGCCGAUCUCAGUUCGGAUUGGAGUCUGAAACCCGACUCCAUGAAGUUGGAAUCGCUAGUAAUCGCGCAUCAGAAUGGCGCGGUGAAUAUGUUCCCGGGCCUUGUACACACCGCCCGUCACACCACCCGAGUUGGGGGUACCCGAAGUCGCUAGUCUAACUUUUCGGAGAGGACGGCGCCGAAGGUAUGUCCGGUAAGGGGGGUGAAGUCGUAACAAGGUA
rnacentral:rRNA from 1 species